GUGGGGAAUCUUCCACAAUGGACGAAAGUCUGAUGGAGCAACGCCGCGUGAGUGAAGAAGGGUUUCGGCUCGUAAAGCUCUGUUGUCGGGGACGAAUGUGCAGUAUUUGAAUAAAGUACUGCAAUGACGGUACCUGACGAGGAAGCCACGGCAAACUCUGUGCCAGCAGCCGCGGUAAUACAGAGGUCUCAAGCGUUGUUCGGAAUUAUUGGGCGUAAAGGGCGCGUAGGCGGGAAGGUGUGUCGACCUGUAAAUCUAUCGUUUCAAGCGUGAGGCUUGGGUUGAAACUGCCUUUCUAGAGGAUUUCAGGGGAGUUUGGAAUUUACGGUGUAGCAGUGAAAUGCGUGGAUAUCGUAAGGAAGGCUUGUGGCGAAGGCGAAACUCUGGGGAAUACCUGACGCUGAGGCGCGAAGGCUAGGUUAGCAAACGGGAUUAGAAACCCGGGUAGUCC
rnacentral:rRNA from 1 species